CUUAGGCGCCAAUGAUGCCUUUAUUCAAAAUGUCUGAACCUGUCUGAAGCAUCCCAGUGAUGCAAACUCUGUAUGGUGCUGAGGCUUUUCUGCCU
ensembl:snoRNA